rnacentral:rRNA from 1 species
UGCGCGGCGAUGCCGCGUGUUAGAUGACCUGGUAUUCCACGCCCUCUGCUUUUGUACGGGAAGAAACACUCCUACUGUAGGAGCUUGACGGUACCGUACCAAUAUCCCACCUGCUAACUCCAUGCCAGGGGAUGCGGCUCUACGGAAGAUACGGUGGUUAUCCGGAAUCAUUGGGCUUAAAGGGUCCGUAGGCGGUUUGGUAAGUCAGUGGUGAAAGCCCAUCCCUUAACGAUGGAACGGCCCUUGAUACUGCCCUACUUGGAUUACUAACAAGUAACUAGAAUAUGUUUCGUAGUGGUGAAAUGCUUAGAUAUUACAUGGAAUACCAAUUGCGAAGGCAGGUUACUACCAGUGGAUUGACGCUGAUGUACUACAGCAUGGCGAGCGAACAGGAUUAGAUACCCUGGUAGUCCACGCCGUAAACGAUGGAUACUAGCUGUUCGGGGUAACCUGAGUGGCUAAGCAACAGUGAUAACUAUCCCACCUGGGGAGUACGUUCGCACGAAUGAAACUCAAAGGAAUUGACGGAUUGACGG